AUGCACAGGACGCCGGUAGAGAUAUCGGUUCCCUUGUGGUCCGUGUGCAGGUGGUGCAUGGCUGUCGUCAGCUCGUGUCGUGAGAUGUUGGGUUAAGUCCCGCAACGAGCGCAACUUUUGUCUCAUGUUGCCAGCGCGUUAUGGCGGGGAGUUGUGAGAGAGUGCCGGGGUCAACUCGGAGGAGGGUGGGGAGGACGUCAAGUCAUCACGCUUUUUACGUCCAGGGCUUCACACACGCUACAAUGGCCGGUACAAAGGGCUGCGAUGCCGUGAGGCUUAGCGAAUCCUUGAAAGCCGGUCUCAGUUCGGAUCGGGGUCUGCAACUCGACCCCGUGAAGUCGGAGUCGCUAGUAAUCGCAGAUCAGCAACGCUGCGG
rnacentral:rRNA from 1 species